GAGAGGAGGGAGGAGAGAAGGCAGUAGGAGCAGCUACAGACAGGCCCAGCCCAGUCAGUGUGUGAUAGUGAGGGGUUUGACCAACCAAUGAUUGCAAGGUGAAAAAACUGAAUAAGGAAGCUGGGACAAUUAUUUGAUUGCAGGACUGGAUUGAAGAACUUGAAAUUGCUGGCAACCAAAUCUACUGCUUUCUGAAUCAUUUCUCAUUUAUCGCAAUCACUGAAACCUGCAGAAUAUUGAUAAAACUAGAGAGGGAACCUUGCCUGAGGCACCAGACCAGCAGGAUUAUUCAUCUACAUGCAUGCAUUUAAUUAAAAAGUGAAUUCCUCCGGCAGUAUCGUCUGUUGUACUGAUUAAAGGGGUUCACAUCCUCCCUCUGUACCGGAGCCACUGUAAAGUAUUGUAUGUCGCCACCUGCAACAAUGAACACUCCUCUUUUUCAGUGUUCUGAAGCAAAUCUCUGUCAAAAAAGGGCUGCGGCUUCCAGACAGGCAGGCAUACAACCACUUUACAUUCAUCAGCUCAAAACAGACUUUGUUACAUUUCUGUAACACCUGGAAAUAAGAUUCAGAAAAGGAUAAUGAAGUGUAGAGGCAUGCUCUCUUUCUGCUUUCUGCGGCAUAAUAUAAUAUAAAACAAGAUUCAAUGCUAUUCAUGGUAUUGAAGCUCAAAAGCCAAUGCUUGCACACAGGAGAAUUUAUUUUAACACAUUUUAUCAAAGCCUGAUAUAUACAUUUUUACGCUAAUGUCUGUGAUUGGACCUGUACACACAAGUAUGCAGUGUGCACUUACAGCGUUCAGAAGGGCUGACACUGUACUAAUAUAUAGGCCUAUUCAUCAUAACUAAACGUAAUAAAAAUAGGCCUUUUCAUCCAGGUAUUGGAACUAUUUAGUACUGUUGUAAUGCAGGAGAUAUCACUAAGAGCUCCUGCUUACCCUUCAGCUCCCAUUCUGGCCACAGUCACCAUACACUAGUAUGGAGAUCUUUAUACUCAUUAUGCAAGGAAAGCUUUAAGAGCACACUUACGGGGGUAUCCAAUUAUUCAAGAUAAAACAUCGGGUGCGAAAACGUCAGUUUUUCAUGAUUUUUGCAGAUGCUUUUGUGAUAUUUUUUUACAGGUUAUCCAAUUAUCCAUGUACAUUUUCUCAUGAAAAUACAUAGUUUCAGUGAAACCUGUGUGUUUUCACUGGCCGCAGCUCUGUUUUCACAUGAAAACAGAGCUGCUUUCAGGGAUUUGGUUUCACAUGCCUGAGGCAGUUGAAAUAAUAUCCCUGAUAAGCCAAUAAUCGUGCUGGUUUAUCUGGGCUAAUUGGAUAGCCUCCGGUGAAGAAAUUACCUCUUGUCAUUGACCGCAGGUAAUUGGAUACCCCCCUUAGAAUUCUCUGUUAAAUGCAAGAACAAAGUGCUAGGUUUUGGGGUCUA